UAUCUGACAGAUGACUACCAGU
rnacentral:misc_RNA from 1 species